CGCAGGCGAGACCGAAGUGGAAGCUGCUCGCCUGCAGACCUAGCGUCCACGCUGCCGCCCGCGUGCGGUUUUUGUGCCUCCUGCUCGCUCAGCUGUAGGGCAGCCUGGCCACUUGCUCAGGUUCGGGGCCCGUAUAUGGAACUGAUGAUGACAAGGAAGGUGAACCCCUCAGGCCACAGCUAUACCUAUAAUAACCCGAACUCAGCGGCCCCAGUGAGUGGUUGGUGAAGGAUAUGACUACAGAAAACUACAGCGCACUGGCCUGGUUUGUAGAUAUGUACUCAGAGACUGGUAUGAGUUCCCUCUGAGGCACCUGGGAAUACAGUCUCAACAUUUAA